rnacentral:lncRNA from 1 species
UUUUUUUUCUUUUUUUUUUUUUUUUGCUAUCUUAGGGUCACACCUGAGGCAUAUGGAAGUUCCCAGGCUAUGGGGUCAAAUCAGAGCUGCAGCUGCCAGCCCACACCACAGCCACAACAAUGCGGGAUCUGAGACGCAUCUUCAACUUACACCACAGCUCACAACAACGCCAUAUCCUUAACCCAGUGAGCGAGGCCAGGGAUCGAACCCACGUCCUCAUGGAUACCAGUCAGGUUCGUUACUGCUGAGCUACAACAGGAGCUCCCAAAUACAAAAAGUUUUAAUAGCUCAGAGAAACAAUGGAGAUCUUUCAGAAGGUUUAUGGUCUCUGAUUCAGAGGCAUGGGAAAGAGUGACUACGUAAGAGCACUUUCCUGUGUCACUUUUCAGAAGACAAGUCAGAGUCAUAAUGGAAAUGACUCAAGAGGCCACCUUUUGGAAGAUGGGCGACCAUCUCUGCCAUGGGAACAGAGACAGGGUGUGCCAAGUAGCAGCUGAAAGGAAAGAUGCACUCUUGCUUUGGUUACAGUCAGGUGCUGUGCUGUGCUGGGCCCCAGCGAAAACCUGGGCAGGUAACAAGCCUCCCUAUUAUUGUCCUACUGGGACUGCAAAGUCUGUGGCAAUUUAGGUCCUGGCUUCCUGGAAGGAGGCACUGAACCUCUGUGUAAGCCAUAGUUUGUGCCUACUAUACCUAAGAGUAAUACUUAAAUACCAAACAACAUUUUAAUAGGUUAUAAAAGCAAAAUCUAAGGUUGGGCAAUAAAAAGGAACACUAACUAGUUUACCCCCAAAGCAAAUCAACUCUAUCAAGAAUUAACUCUUUUCCCAGCAGAGUAGAUAAUUUAAGGGCAAGCCCACAGAAUAAGACUAUAAUUUAUUCCAUAGGUGGUAAGUUUUAAGUGAGAGACAUGUUCUUCCUUCCUUUCCUCCCACUCACCGAGUUUGGGCCAUUUCUAGAGGAUGUUCAGCUGACAUUCUUUUAAAAGAUGCAAAAAAAAAAAAAAAAGGUGAAGCAAGAUGUGCUCAGUGGAAAGGGAGUGUUCCACCAGUUUUGGUAAAUACUGAUCAAGGCCUGAACUUUUGAUUCUAAAAGAAAGAACAAGAUGAUUCACAUAUGCCUAAGGAAAAGUAGGUCUGAUGGACAGAUCUGAAUGAAAGUACAUAUUUAAAAAAAAAAAGAAAAAGCUUGAACUUAAAGUCAAUCUUGCUCAAAUUUUAAGCAAAUUAUUUAACAUAACCUCUUUUCUUUUGCCAUGUCUCCACCCAGUAAACUACUUUUUUACAGUUUAAGAAAAGCUAACCUGGAGUUCCCGCUGUGGCACGGUGGGUUAAGAAUCUGACUGCAGUGGUUCGGGUCACUCCACAGGUGUGGGUUCUAUCCCAGUCCAGAGCAGUGGGUUAAAAAGGAUCCAGCACAGGUCACAGCUGAGGCUGGAUUCGAUCCCUGGCUGGGAACGUCCACAGGCCACGAGUGUGGUCAGGAAAGAAAAGAAAGAAGGAAGAAAGGAGAGAAUGAAGGAAGGAAGAGAGGGAGGAAGGAAGGAGGAAAGAAAAGCUGACCCACCCAAAUCAGCAUUUAUAAAUAAUUAAGAGAUAGUUAUUUGUUGUAAAAAUCACUUCCUCAUGAAGGAAGUCAGUUUUCCACAUGUAUUUAAGAUUACUGAUAAAAAUGGGUUUACUGGAGUUCCCGUUGUGGCGCAGUGGUUAACGAAUCCGACUAGAAACCAUGAGGUUGCGGGUUCGGUCCCUGCCCUUGCUCAGUGGGUUAAUGAUCUGGCGUUGCCGUGAGCUAUCUCAUGGUUCCUAGUCACGAGGGGAACUCCUAUUGUUUUGGUUUUUUUUGUCUUUUGUAUACUGAUUUCGUGUGUGUGUGUGUGUGUGUGUGUGUGUGUGUGGUAAUCAUUCUCUCAAUUUUCUGUAUUGCUUUAAUAUUUAUAUAUACAGCCCUAAACUAUAAUAGGGAAGAACAAAUCUGACUCCAUAUGGGAUCUUUUACUUUAACCUUUGUAUCCUAUUGCUUCUGCUACAAGUUCAUGAAAGGGAGGUUGCCUAUCAGCUUAAAUUAUACAUAACGACCCAACUCUGGAAACUCUGCCUCUCAGGUUAUCAGUGUUAAACUAAAAUACCUUUGUUUAGCUCACAAGAAACAUCCCCACCAGGCCCAACUAUGAAUGACUGCAGGCAGGAAGAAAUUAACACAGUCCCUCCAGAGGCUGACCAGAACCAGGAAAUGCUUGACUUUGCUCUCAGCCAUUUUAGUACAAAAAGAAGCCUGAAUUCUAACUUGGGUAUGAAGGUACUUUGGGACACUAGUCUGCCAUCUUCUGGGUCCAUGGGCUUUCUGAAUAAAGUUGCUAUUCCUUGCCCCAAAAAGUCAUCUCUUGAUUUUCUGGCCUGUCAAGCAGUGAGCAGAGUGAGCGAUGGGAACUUGGUCUCGGUAACAAGCCAUAUACUUAGUUCUGCAUACUUGCGAAUUUUCAUAAAUGGAGUCAUUUGUGUACCUAGUCUUCUGUGUCUUGUUUCUUUCAUUCAACAUUGUGAUUUUAGGAUUCAUCCAUAUUGAUGCAUGCAUUUUUGGUUGCUUAACAAACACCUUCCUCAACAUACAGAUGAGGAAAACGGAUGGACAGUGAAGUUAAGAAACGUGCCCAAGGUCACAAAAAUAAGUGGUAGAACCUAAUUUUGAACACGAGCAGAAUCUUUGCUCUUAACCACCAAGCAGGUGGCCUCUCCACACCCUCCCAUAGGUGAUGUUAUUAGCUCAUGCGUCACUGCCAAAUAGUUAUUCCAGUGUGUAAAUACAGCAAAAUGUGUUGAUUCAAUACAAUGUUGAUGAGUAUUUGGGUUGUUUCCAGUGUUUGCUCUCACAAACAAUGUUUCUUUAUACAUUCCUGUCCCUGUUUCUUGAAGCACAUGAGUAAGAUUUUUUUUCCUAAAGGUAUAUCCAGGAGUAAGAUUGUGGGGUUGUAAAUUAGUAGCAAGGUGAACUAUGUUCAGUAAUAAACUAUUUUCCAGUGGAAUUGUAUCAAAUUAUACUCCUACCCACCCCAUACAAGAACUUCCAUUCAUCCACAUCCUCACCAACACCAGCUAUGUCAGAUUUUUAAAUGUCUGCCAAUCCAGAGACUUAUGUAUACUAUGUCACUACAAUUUUACUUUGCAUACAUUUGAUCAUUAAACUAGCCAUUUGGGUUUCUUUUGUGAAGUGCUUGCUUACAUAUGUGAAGGUACAGCAUCAUGUUUCUAUUGUGCUGUCCAUAGCUUUUCUUAUCGAUUCAUGUGUUCUUCCCAUAUGCUGGACCAGUACCAUAUUUGUCCUAUAAAUAUCGUCCACCACUUUGGGCUUGUUUUCUUACGCUUCAUGUUUUAAUGAACAUAAGUUCUAGUCCCAUUUUUUUUUCAAACCAUUAAAAGUAAAGGCCUCUUCAUACAUUUUAAACUUCUUGUACUAUUAUAGAAGGAUUUCCCAGGUCUGCACUUAGAAUCCUUUAUAGCCCUCCAUUAAUUAUGUCUUAAGAAGGUCUAAUUUGGGAAGUGUCAAGAAUGGGACAGUGUACUGACAAUGACAGAUAUGGAACAAUAAAGUUGAUGAACCUGACAUCUAUAAAAUCUUGAAAGGUACCAGCUAGGGAAUUAAGGAGCAUUUCAGCAAAUCCCACAGUAUUUUGAGGAUAUAAACAAAUCCAACUUCUCCUUUUGAAGGCUCUGCUGUCCUUCAAUCUUUGCCAGUUCUCUUUCCUCCCAACUCCUUUCUCCCACUUUCCUUUACUACUCAUCCUGUCCCUUGAUCACGUACUGCUGGGUGCUGUCCUUCAAAUACUUCAUGCUUAUACGUAUCAUCUCCAAGAUGAAACUCCAACUUCCCCACAGACUGGGAUCAGGCUGUACAGGGGGACUGUAUUCCACAUACCACAUCCUGAGCCCAACAGAGUCUCCUGCAAAGAGCAAGCCCCUCACUAAGUCAUUCUUGAUUUGUGCAAGGAGUAAUUUUAGGGCGAAUUCAAAGGACUUCAGGGUCAACAUACAUAACUCAUCCAUUAGGAAACUCCACGGAAUAAAAACAUAAAUUCAUUCGAGAGAUAGUGAGUCAAAGUUUAGUGAGAAGAAAACAUUGGUGAAAAUAUAUACCUGAAACGGUAGGGUGGGAACAGGUUAUAAGGAGGGCUGUGCCAAGGGGUUUAAAGGCUGUGCCAAGGAAUUUGGCUUUCCCGAACAUUUAACUUGGGCUUGCCUGGUGAGAGCCUGACCUGACCCACUUCUCCCUGUGCAAGAGAAUGAGUGUUUAAUGAGCAGCCCUUUAGGCUCAGACACUUUUCCAGGGCUUUUAGACUUCCACAAUGACCAAAGGCCCUGGAGCGGAUGUCAUAGCGAGAGAGACAUAUGCAAGGAACGCAUACGGGAAGCCAGAGAAAGGAAGGAGAGGAGUGGGGUUGGGGCACCUGGGACGGAGGAUGAGCCCCGCACCCCACAGGGUCAGGGAAUCCCUCUCUUGGUGGGGGAUGGGAAAGAGCCCAAGGCCACAGGGGAGACCCCCCAGUUCUCCCACCCAUCCCCCUGGAUCUAAAAGGCUGUGUGAACUACUUUAACAGCCAGAAGGCAAUGUGCAGGUCCCCCUCCUCUUUCACACUCCAAGUUCUGAGCCUCCUCCUCCCCCUAAUGCUCCUCAGCCCCCCUACCUAGAUGCAUUUCUGACUCCAUCAGGAUUCUCCAACUCAGGGCUGGUGGCAGUGCUGUCUGCACCUCUUAUCCUCCUUGGGUGACUUCCCUGGGCUUGUCUCCUGCCUGGCUUCUGAAGCUGGGGCCACCCUUAGGCCUUUUCCUGGUUCCUCAGAAUCCAGCCUCCUUCCCAGGAUGCAUUCUUAGAUGGCAGCAGGAAGCCAGUUCAGGCUCCCCUUCCAAUUUCCUUCUCACCUGGUCCAGUCCUCCCAGAAACCAGCUGCUGGCAGGGAUGUCAAAGGGAGCACCCGGGGCUCUGUGAGCAAGCAGCCAGGGUCAGGGAGGGGAACCGUGUCGGUGCACAGGAGUCCACAUAGGUCUGUCCAAGUACAGUGUGAGAAAGGGUGGGGGAGCAGGUGGGAGCAAACAGAAUCUAUGGAAACCAAUGAGAAGAGGGGAGUGUUCACACAGAGAAAGAAAUGCAAAGACUUGCCAAGAGAGGGAAAGAAGAAAAGGCCCAGAAAGGAACCUUUACUGGGUACCAAGACACAUGAGUAAAAACAGUAACUGCAAG